CAGCUAGCAGUGUGGUCUCUCCCGCCGCAGCCAAACCCUACCGCAGCCCUCUGACCCGUCUAUUCUCGGUCUCUCUCCCUCCUUACCGCCGCCGCCGCCUCCUCUGCAUUCCCUCUCCUCCCAGCGCCGCCUCCAUGCCUCUCCCCACCUUGCCCUCACCUCCACGCUUUAUUUGCCUCCAUGCUGGCACAAGCAGACCUCCUUUGCGCGAUGGAUCGACGAGGCGCCAGGGGGUAAUUGGGGAGGAGGCGUUCAUGGAUACCAUGUGCGGAGGACUAGAGGAGGGUUCCCACUCCCCAAGAGCCCCACGCACUAUCGCCCAUCGAACAAAUCCGUCCUUGACAUCGAUCUGUUCGACCUCCAGAAGUCUAUGGUGUGAGUGCGGCGGCCUCCAGUAAUCAGUAGAGGAAGAUGUCUUUGCAGCGUACAUUGGCAAGCAAAGAAGUGGCACGGUGGCAGGUGGAGCGAUUGCUCGAUGGACCCUUUACCUUUCUCCUUUCAUCUUUAUUUCCAUUGUUAUUUUUGCCUCUUCUCUUGGAUCCAUCUACUUAUGUGUGAGCUUGCUCUCCCUCUCAGGUCGAAGCCACGAGCCAUAGCAAGGGGACCUUGCGAGUUGUAGAUCUGUGAUUAUAGUGUAUUAGGAGUUUAUGAUUGGGCUACCUAUUCCCCACCAAGUCAAUGCUGAUGUGAGCUCUCUGUUACUUAGCUUUUUGACAUCCAUCUCCAAUCCCAAUGAAUCUGUUGAGCAUGCAGCAAGCACGAAUGCCAUGCUUAAUUAGCAUCGCGAGCAAGCCUACAGCUCUCCAAUCUUGGGGUGUUGCUUUCCACCAGUCCAUCAUAUCCACGUCACUAAUAAAAGGGUUAGUGUACAUAUUAGUUGAUAGCUGACUUAAAUUGCUUUUAAAAGAAUUUGUGUCAACAAUAUGAAAUCAAGUAGGAAUUCUAACCCAGCUACCUUACUCAAUGCUCUGUGAUGAAAUUUUUUUUAUCCGCCAUGUUUGCAUUUAAUUUGGUACUUCCUCUGGUGUUAGAUGCCUUUCAUUCCAGAUUGCAGAAACUGACAAAGCAAGGGGGGAGGGGGGGGGGGGGAAUCUCUAAUGCUAAGGCGAGGGGAACAAUUCUGUGAUUAAACUAUAAUUCAGCACUGAGCAGUGAAAAAAAUAACAAUAAUUCAGCAUUCAGCAGUGAAGAAAAAAACGUGGCAACAAAUUUGAAACUGGGUGUUAGCACUAUGGGACUAUUUUUUGCUUUAACAUCAAUGGAGUGAGAUCAGUGCAAAGCUUUGGAGCUCUAUCAAUUCUUUGUUUGUCAGCAAAGUCAUCUCCCAGCAUUCCACGAAGAAGUUCCUCAUUUCUAUAUUCAGUGUUUUAGGAACUGAGGACGUGUCAAAUGGAGAUGAAACUCAUAAAGAUGACUUUUCUGUCAGCACUAUCAUGUUCAAAGAUGGGGAGAUUUCUUUUCAUUAUCUGUUAUAUAGCACUAAAUCAUUUGGCAUACAUUGAGAAUUUUGUUGGUAAAAUUAAGAAACAAAAACAGAAGAACGAUAAAUCUCAGCCCACCACUAAGGAUCUUUUAUUUGAGGUCUGACUGUCAAAAGGAUCGGAGGCACAAGGCAUAAAUGUUGAACUGGGACUUGGUGCAACCAUAGAUACUGCAAUCAAUUCUCUUACUGAGAGAGCAAUAAAGGAAAAUUGCUUGUUGUUCUCCUGAAAAGAAUCCCAUAGGAUGUUGUAGGCCAUUUCUGUCAAAACUCUACUGGAAUCUUAAUUGCUGCAAAAGAGCUUUUGCGUCUACGGGUUCCUAUGUAGCUGUAUAUGUGUGCCUAUUCAAGUGCUUAUCGAUGUGAAGGGACUUUGCCACUAUGAUGACUAGCACUCCUUUGAAAACCUCAAAGUUGUGAACUGUGUAGUUUACUAUUAUUUUAUCUCUAGGUCUACGAACCUGUUACUACCAUGAGACAUUUGGAUAGAUAUUCUAAGUUACUGGCGAAGGCGUUCCAUAAUCACAAUUUCUAAUUGUAAACUGUAAGGCUAUAUAAUGUACAACUGAAUGAAACCAGAGGUGAAAUAUGGAAGAUGAGAUAGCUGCAUAAUUUGUACCA